CUACGGGGGGCAGCAGUGAGGAAUAUUGCACAAUGGGGGGAACCCUGAUGCAGCAACGCCGCGUGGAGGAUGACGCAUUUCGGUGUGUAAACUCCUUUUAUAUGUCAAGAAAAUGACGGUAGCAUAUGAAUAAGCACCGGCUAACUCCGUGCCAGCAGCCGCGGUAAUAGGGAGGGUGCAAGCGUUACUCGGAAUCACUGGGCGUAAAGGACGCGUAGGCGGGUUGGAAAGUCAGGUGUGAAAUCCUACAGCUUAACUGUAGAACUGCACUUGAAACUUCUAAUCUAGAGUAUGGGAGGGGGAGAUGGAAUUAGUGGUGUAGGGGUAAAAUCCGUAGGUAUCACUAGGAAUACCUAAAGCGAAGGCGAUCUCCUGGAACAUUACUGACGCUAAGGCGUGAAAGCGUGGGGAGCAAACAGGAUUAGAUACCCUUGUAGUC
rnacentral:rRNA from 1 species